GACGAACGCUGGCGGCGUGCUUAACACAUGCAAGUCGAACGAUGAAGAAGAGAAACGCGAACUUCGGUUCAAAUUUCACUUCGGAUUAGUGGCAGACGGGUGAGUAACGCGUGAGCAACCUACCUCUUACAAAGGGAUAGCCUCGGGAAACCGUGAUUAAUACCAUAUGACACAUUCAUAAGGCAUCUUAAGAAUGUUAAAGCUACGGCGGUAAGAGAUGGGCUCGCGUCCCAUUAGCUAGUUGGUGAGGUAACGGCCCACCAAGGCGACGAUGGGUAACCGGCCUGAGAGGGUGAACGGUCACAUUGGAACUGAGACACGGUCCAAACUCCUACGGGAGGCAGCAGUGGGGAAUAUUGCACAAGGGAGGGAACUCUGAUGCAGCGACGCCGCGUGAGCGAUGAAGGAAUUCGUUUCGUAAAGCUCUGUUCUAUGGGAAGAAAAGGACUGUACCAUAGGAGAAAGCCCCGGCUAAAUACGUG
rnacentral:rRNA from 1 species